rnacentral:rRNA from 1 species
AACGCGAAGAACCUUACCAGCUUUUGACAUGUCCAGUAUGGUUGCCAGAGAUGGCUUCCUUCCCGCAAGGGGCUGGAACACAGGUGCUGCAUGGCUGUCGUCAGCUCGUGUCGUGAGAUGUUGGGUUAAGUCCCGCAACGAGCGCAACCCUCGCCCUUAGUUGCCAUCAUUCAGUUGGGCACUCUAGGGGGACUGCCGGUGAUAAGCCGCGAGGAAGGUGGGGAUGACGUCAAGUCCUCAUGGCCCUUACAGGCUGGGCUACACACGUGCUACAAUGGCGGUGACAAUGGGAUGCGGAGGGGCGACCCCGAGCAAAUCUCAAAAAGCCGUCUCAGUUCAGAUUGCACUCUGCAACUCGAGUGCAUGAAGGUGGAAUCGCUAGUAAUCGUAGAUCAGAACGCUACGGUGAAUACGUUCCCGGGCCUUGUACACACCGCUAGUC